rnacentral:rRNA from 1 species
UUGUGGCUAAAAAGCUCGUAGUUGGAUCUCGGCGGUCUGAGGGCGGUUCGCUUGAUUGAGUGCUACUGCUCUAUAGGCCGUGGUUUUGCCAGAGGUCUCGGGGUGCUCUUAACCGAGUGUCCUGCGAUGCUGGCAGGUUUACUUUGAAAAAAUUAGAGUGCUCAAAGCAGGCUUUUACGCCUGAAUAUUCGUGCAUGGAAUAAUAGAAUAGGAAGUCGUUUCUAUUUUGUUGGUUUUCGGAAAUCGACUUAAUGAUUAAUAGGGACAGUCGGGGGCAUUUGUAUUCAAACGACAGAGGUGAAAUUCUUGGACCGUUUGAAGACAAACUACUGCGAAAGCAUUUGCCAAGAAUGUUUUCAUUAAUCAAGAACGAAAGUUAGAGGUUCGAAGGCGAUUAGAUACCGCCCUAGUUCUAACCAUAAACGAUGCCACUAGCGAUCUGCCGACGUUUCUU